rnacentral:rRNA from 1 species
CGGCGAACGGGUGAGUAACACGUGAGUAACCUGCCCUGGACUUUGGGAUAACCCUCGGAAACGGGGGCUAAUACCGAAUAUGACGACUCACCGCAUGGUGUGGUUGUGGAAAGUUUUUCGGUCUGGGAUGGGCUCGCGGCCUAUCAGCUUGUUGGUGGGGUGAUGGCCUACCAAGGCGACGACGGGUAGCCGGCCUGAGAGGGCGACCGGCCACACUGGGACUGAGACACGGCCCAGACUCCUACGGGAGGCAGCAGUGGGGAAUAUUGCACAAUGGGCGGAAGCCUGAUGCAGCGACGCCGCGUGAGGGAUGACGGCCUUCGGGUUGUAAACCUCUUUCAGCAGGGACGAAGCGCAAGUGACGGUACCUGCAGAAGAAGCGCCGGCCAACUACGUGCCAGCAGCCGCGGUAAGACGUAGGGCGCGAGCGUUGUCCGGAUUUAUUGGGCGUAAAGAGCUCGUAGGCGGCUUGUCGCGUCGACUGUGAAAUCCCGCGGCUCAACCGCGGGUCUGCAGCCGAUAC